UAAUAAUAAUAAUAAUUAAGAUGAAACUUUCAUCUUAUGGAUGAAAGUCUAGACUCUUACUAUGGAUAAUGAAAUAUUUGUUUUAUCUUAUACUUCCAUCUUUUUAGUUUAUAUAUUUUUGUAUUUCUUGAAAUUUUAAGUACUAUUAGACUCUUACUAUUAAUUUUGUUUUCUCUUUUAUUUUUGACCCUAAGUGUUUGAAAUAAAAUUGUACAAUCCAA
rnacentral:misc_RNA from 1 species